rnacentral:rRNA from 1 species
GACGAACGCUGGCGGCGUGCUUAACACAUGCAAGUCGAACGGAAAGGCCCUGCUUGCAGGGUACUCGAGUGGCGAACGGGUGAGUAACACGUGGGUGAUCUGCCCUGCACUUCGGGAUAAGCAUGGGAAACUGGGUCUAAUACCGGACAGGAGCCAUUUUGAGUGUGAUGGUUGGAAAGUUUUUUCGGUGUAGGCUGAGUUCGCGGCCUAUCAGCUUGUUGGUGGGGUAAUGGCCUACCAAGGCGGCGACGGGUAGCCGGCCUGAGGGGGUGGACGGCCACACUGAGUCUGAGAUGCGGCACAGGCACCUACGGGAGGCAGCAGUGGGGAAGCUUGCACAAUGGGCGCAAGGCUGGUGAAGCGGCGCUGCGUGGGGGAUGACGGCCUUAGGGGUGUAGACCAAUUGCGCAAGGAACGAAGCUUGUUGUGACGGUACCUAGAUAGGAAGCACCGGCUAACUACGUG